GCUGGUGUAGCUCAAUGGCAGAGCAGCUGAUUUGUAAUCAGCAGGUUGAAGGUUCGACUCCCUUCACCAGCU
rnacentral:tRNA from 1 species